GAUGAACACUGGCGGCGUGCCUAAUACAUGCAAGUCGAGCGAACGGACGAGAAGCUUGCUUUUCUGAUGUUAGCGGCGGACGGGUGAGUAACACGUGGAUAACCUACCUAUAAGACUGGGAUAACUUCGGGAAACCGGAGCUAAUACCGGAUAAUAUUUUGAACCGCAUGGUUCAAAAGUGAAAGACGGUCUUGCUGUCACUUAUAGAUGGAUCCGCGCUGCAUUAGCUAGUUGGUAAGGUAACGGCUUACCAAGGCAACGAUGCAUAGCCGACCUGAGAGGGUGAUCGGCCACACUGGAACUGAGACACGGUCCAGACUCCUACAGGAGGCAGCAGUAGGGAAUCUUCCGCAAUGGGCGAAAGCCUGACGGAGCAACGCCGCGUGAGUGAUGAAGGUCUUCGGAUCGUAAAACUCUGUUAUUAGGGAAGAACAUAUGUGUAAGUAACUGUGCACAUCUUGACGGUACCUAAUCAGAAAGCCACGGCUAACUACGUG
rnacentral:rRNA from 1 species